rnacentral:rRNA from 1 species
GAUGAACGCUGGCGGCGUGCCUAAUACAUGCAAGUCGAGCGAACGGACGAGAAGCUUGCUUCUCUGAUGUUAGCGGCGGACGGGUGAGUAACACGUGGAUAACCUACCUAUAAGACUGGGAUAACUUCGGGAAACCGUAGCUAAUACCGGAUAAUAUUUUGAACCGCAUGGUUCAAAAGUGAAAGACGGUCUUGCUGUCACUUAUAGAUGGAUCCGCGCUGCAUUAGCUAGUUGGUAAGGCAACGGCUUACCAAGGCAACGAUGCAUAGCCGACCUGAGAGGGUGAUCGGCCACACUGGAACUGAGACACGGUCCAGACUCCUACGGGAGGCAGCAGUAGGGAAUCUUCCGCAAUGAGCGAAAGCCUGACGGAGCAACGCCGCGUGAGUGAUGAAGGUCUUCGGAUCGUAAAACUCUGUUAUUAGGGAAGAACAUAUGUGUAAGUAACUGUGCACAUCUUGACGGUACCUAAUCAGAAAGCCACGGCUAACUACGUG